CCCCCAUGGCCCGCGAGCGGCGCCGACAACCCAUGAAACCCUCCGCCCUGAAGCAGCUUCGUACGGGGACACCCCUGCGAUCUAACAGAGACAACUCUCAACAACGGAUAUCUCGGCUCUCGCAACGAUGAAGAACGCAGCGAAAUGCGAUACGUAGUGUGAAUUGCAGAAUUCCGUGAGUCAUCGAAUCUUUGAACGCACAUUGCCGGUCGAGUCUUCGGAUGAGACCACAUCUGCCUCAGCGUCGGAAUAACCCCUCACGCGCUUGCGCGUGGACCUGGCCCCCCCGGUCACUGGCCCCCGUGCCAGCCGGGCCGGCUGAAAUACAGAGGCUCGCGCGCGGCCCAUUCGCGGCCCCGACUAGGUAGGUAGCUCGCUACUCCUACGGCGGAGGCUCGGCGUCGCGUGCUGUGAGCCACGAAGGAUACCCACUAUUCAUUCGACCUGAGUUCAGGUGAGGCUA
rnacentral:rRNA from 1 species